rnacentral:snRNA from 1 species
GUGCUCACUUUGGCAGCACAUAAGCUAAAAUUGAAAGAUUAGCAUGGCCCCUGCACAAGGAUGACAUGCAAAUUCAUGAAGCAUUCCAUAUAUAU